rnacentral:rRNA from 1 species
ACGCACGCUGGCGGCGUGCUUCACCCCUGCAAGUCGCACGGAAAGGCCCUGCUUUUGUGGGGUGCUCGAGUGGCGAACGGGUGAGUAACACGUGAGUAACCUGCCCUUGACUUUGGGAUAACUUCAGGAAACUGGGGCUAAUACCGGAUAGGAGCUCCUGCUGCAUGGUGGGGGUUGGAAAGUUUCGGCGGUUGGGGAUGGACUCGCGGCUUAUCAGCUUGUUGGUGGGGUAGUGGCUUACCAAGGCUUUGACGGGUAGCCGGCCUGAGGGGGUGACCGGCCACAUUGGGACUGAGAUACGGCCCAGACUCCUACGGGAGGCAGCAGUGGGGAAUAUUGCACAAUGGGCGGAAGCCUGAUGCAGCAACGCCGCGUGCGGGAUGACGGCCUUCGGGUUGUAAACCGCUUUCGCCUGUGACGAAGCGUGAGUGACGGUAAUGGGUAAAGAAGCACCGGCUAACUACGUG